AUGCAGCUUAUUAAGCCGACCAGUUCUGCUGCAGUGUGGUUCUGGUGUGCAAAGGCUGCAGACAUUAACUCUUUGGUUGUGUAUGUCCUCAGCUGGGUGGUGCUGAGUGCUGUAAGGGACCACUGAGACACUU
rnacentral:snoRNA from 1 species